CCCGGUCUUGCUUCUUAUGGAAAAAAUUCGAACCCCUCAGAUUGUGUAUAUUAUUUUCUUUUUCUACUUAAUCAAUAUAUGUUAUUAAUAAAGUUGGGAAUGGAAAUGGGGAAUGUGUCAAAGAGACAACAACCCGACCAUAGAAAAAAACAACAGCAAAAGGUCACCAACAGGUCUUCAAUGUAGCGAGAAAUUCCCGCACCCGUAGGCGUCUUUCCGCUUGCGCUUUAAACAAAUAUAUACUAGUUCAGUGAUAAGGAACGCCAUACUAAACUCCAAAUGAUACACAAGAAACUAAAAUUAAAAUAAUACAAGACUAACAAAAUCCAGAGGCUCCUGAUUUCGGACAGGUGCAAAUAUGCGGCGGGUUUAAACAUGUUUAUCAGAUCUCAACCCUCCCCCUAUACCUCUAGCCACUGUAUAAAAGUAAACGUAUAACAAAAGGCACAUUAAAAUUCAGUUCAAGAGAAUUCUGAGUCUGAUGUCAGAAGAUGUAACCAAAGAAAAAAAACAAAAUGACAAUAAUA
rnacentral:lncRNA from 1 species